CUCCUCUAAGGGUCGCACCUGGAGAGUUUCCAGGACUCUAUCAGUCUCGACCACGGAAAGGAGAGUCAAGCAGGGACAUAUCCAUUCCAUUCCUAGCUUGGGCAGUGGCUAGCAAGUGGAAGGCAAUCUGCUACAAGU